GGUGUUUGCCAUUCGAAUAUCAAUAUCCCAACCAUGUUGAGACCAAAGUCAGGAACAAAAGUGUCAUCACCAACCAAAGCACCAUCAAUAGCGAGAUUAGAAAGGCCACUAUGACAUGUUCAAUCAUCAUACUAGAAUCUAAUCGUACUACCAUUCCUUACUCUCCAAAUAAUACAUGAAGAAUUAAUAGUACUCCACAAUCUGGCAAUGUUAUCACAAAUGUGAAUAUGAACCUUAGUCAUUUGCGCGCAUAGCAUACACAGGGAAUAGAUGGAGUAACAGUUUGUAUUAGAGUGAGCCUCCCAGCCAUGCUCUUCAAGCUAGUUAAUUUCGUAGAAUGAAAUAAGGGCAUACCUAAAUAUUAAUUUCCUAAGUUCCAUCCAUCAUAGAUAUGCACCCUUACCGUCUGUAUUUUCAUCAUCAUUCAUAAGUUCUCUUAGUUCUCAAUUGUUCUAAAUAUUGUUCAAUGAUUCAGUUAGCUUAUCAACAUAAAAAGGCUGCAAUUAUCCUAAAGUCGCAUUUAUGUUCUAUAAUACGAGGCAAGAUGAUCUGAUCUCUGCUUAAUCCAUGUAUAUAUAUUAUAAAUUAUAAACCUACGUAUGUAAGUACCAAGAUGGUGAAAUUGAAGCGUAAAUUAACAUGCAUCCCUAGAAAUUUCCCAAGAGGGGAUUAUUUGAUGGCAAACAAACAAAAAAUCAAACUGAGACAUACUAAAACAUAAAACAAAUUUAGUAUCCUGGCAUGAGCGAUCAAUCGAGUUGGUACUUUCUUGAAGAUCCAAUGAAGGAAAUGCUCACCUUUAUCUUCGCCCUGGUCAAUCUCCACUAGUGUAACGCCCAAGGCUCCAAGGCGCAAUCUCUGUUGAGGGUACCAAUAGAAAGGUGAUCUUGGAACUUGAACAACUUCAUGAUCCAAGUCAUCGUAAUUUCUCUUGUAAAAUUGAAGAUCUGCUAAGUUUUGAUCAUUGUUGUCAAACUCGUUCCGGUGGCAUACUAGUUGGACACCACAAAUUUUCAAGGAAAGUGGUUUAGAAGGACGAAAUUCCACUUGACACUUGCUCAAAAGUUGCUCUUCAUGCCACUGUGGCCCCCAGUGCCUCAUAUCAGAUAACGAAACAUACUGCAGCCACACAUGAUUUGACCCCGGACGAAUAAGGAAAUGCUCAUGAACAUCAUAUAUAUAAGCACCAUUGAUGCGGACUAGGACAUGAAACCCGUGUUUUUCAUAAUCAUUAUAAUCAUAGGUUAGUGUUCCAUCUGUGCUUUCAAACACAGCCGAUAAAGCCAAUCUCGAAUUCUUUCCACUGAAAUUUGGAGGAAGUUUAAUAACAAACUCGCAAUUCUCAGGAUCAGUUGGAUGCUUACAAAUGUUGAACCACUUUGGAAUAUUAUUUCCUGGAAGUACACCACCGGACUCGAAGUAUGAAUUAUUCCCCUGCAUUCAUCAAUGUUGCAUAGUAUUAACAAAAGGAAAUUAAUCAUGAUGCAUGAAUAUUGCAUAGUAUUAGUUAACUUAAUUAGUCAUGAUACUUGCAUACAUGCAUGCUUAAUUACAAGCUUGUUAGUACCUCCCUCUGGUUCCAAUUUGCCGCAGAAUAUUCUUAAUAAACUUCCACUGCAAGAAUUUGUUAAAUAUAAAUGGUCCUAAAAGCUUAAUUUGUCUGGUUGAAAGUUAAUGCACAUUGAAACAUGUAAGAUAAUCUACAGCAAUCAAGUGAAUUCUAAGAGUUGCUAGAUAAAUCUAGAAGAUGAUCUAGAGUGAUCAUAUUAGCUAGUGCAAGAAGUUUCUAGAGUUACCAUGUAAGUGUAGGAAGUCUCUAGAAUUAUCAUGUAAUUGUGAUAAGGUUCUAUAUUAAUCAUGGAAGUGUAACAAAGGUCUAGAAUAUCUAACAAGUCUAGAAAGGUCUAGAAAGAUCCAUCAAGGUCUAUAAAUAUGUGAUGUACCCUUGUAAUCAAGAUAGAAAGAAAGAAAGAAGAACAAGAAGUUGUUUAAGGACACCUAGUUUGUGUGUCUGUUCCAAACUCUGAUUACUUGUCUGAGUUGUAAUAUGGUUAGUCUUACCGAUAUCUACGGAGAUAUUCCAAUUAUUGUAUGAUUCAGUUAUCUUGUAAGACGCAGAUUCUUUGCUUGUAAUCCUCUAUAUAAAAAGGCUCCUGUUAUCAACGUAAGUACAACUCAUUCUCCCAAUUUUCUCUGCAUUCCUUUUUCCUAAAACACGUUAUCAGCAAGAAGCCCUAACCCUGAAACAAAUAGUGAAACCCUAAAACAAAAACCAAAACCCUAAAUCUGAAUACAAAACCUUGAAAUCCUUUCUACCUUAACCGCACACCUUUAAGCCUUCGACCCCAAGAGUUCAGAACCGGCAGCAAAACCACCCGAACCUGCAGGAAAACUACCGAACCGGCCUCCUGAAGCUCCAAACCGUCUGCUGCAAAUCCUCCACAGGUUCGCCGCCUUCCAGACAAUCUACGGUAGCCAAACUCGGUCACCAAUAGCUCCUCGACGCCAGGAUUCAGGAACCUGAAGCAGAACCUUAAGAACUGGUCUAAAAGUGACUAAAAAGGCUGCCUAAGUCAUUGAACCGCAGGCAGAAAAACAGAACAGAAGUUAUUUAGGACAGUUCCGGCCACCACCGGCUAGAAGCAUCUUUCUCUGUUCAACUAUAGACCAAAAGUUUCGUCGACCCCCCUUUGUCCUUUUUAAGGAUGAGUAACCUGAGCAAACUGGACUUUGCUCCAUUGGGACAACUGGUUCUGGAUAUCACAAGUGGGUUCGUGAUGUCCGCUAGCAUCUCAAGGCCCAAGGAAUCCUAGAAAUGAUUCUUGAGCCUAGCCAGGACGUGCUAACAGUUGAGCAAGCUCAAGUUUUGGACGCAAAUAGAGCAUCCUUAGAGGCAAAUAAGGUGAAAACUGUCAUCUUAAUGACUCGUCAUAUGAAUGAUUCACUCUAGUGCGAGUAUCUAAAUGAAGAAGACCCCAGAAGGUUAUGGGUCUCACUCAAAGAAUGGUUUGGCAACGUCCAUGACUCCCUGCUUCCUGACCUAGAAGUGAGAUGACAUAACCUCCGCUUCUGUGAUUUUAAGACAGUUUUUUUAUUACAACUCAAAAUCACUUCGCAUUAAAUCCUUAAUGAAAUUCUAUGGUUAAGAGAUCACAGAUGUGAUGUUAAUUGAGAAGACUCUCUCUACCUUCCCCGUCUCUGCUUUGAUGGUUACUAAGAACUAUCAAAGCGAUGUUACUGUAGGACAGUUGACAAGGUUUCAUGAGCUCAUUGGAGGCAUGAAUGUAGCUGAAAAGCAUGGCAACAUCCUUGUGAAGAACUAUAAUUCGAGACCCAUGGGAAUAUAGUCUAUUCUAAAGUCCAAUUAUAGUCGCGCCUCUAAGAGAAGGAGCCAAAGCGAAACCUAAAUCUAGGGACAUUUUUGGACAUUCUGGUCCAUAUUCUCGCUCCAAUAAGGAAGACUGCCAAAAUAGGUGGACACGGGACCGAAGAGCUCAACAUGGAAAGAGAGAGGGAGGCAACGCCUCUGGUUAUGUUGGUUGCGCCACCAACACUAAGAUCCAUCCUAAUGAAACUUUCAAACAGCUUCAAUCAAGGGAGCAUGAGCACAGAGAUGUAUGUUCUCGAUGUGGAGUAUCAGGUCAUUGGGCACACAUUUAUCGAGCUCGUGACAGUGUUGUCACUGCCUACAAAGCAUAUUGUGAAGUAAGAGAAGCUCACUUUGUGGAACAAGAAUAUUAAAAAGGUGAUCUCAAACUAAGGGUUGAAGACUUAAAAUUAGGCCAAGAUCAAGAGACUGGCGAUUUUUAAUAAAGUCUUUAUUUUUCCAAGAGAUGUAAUAGGCAAUUGCCAUAUGUUUUUGUAGUAAAUGUCAUUGGUUUAGUUUUUUCUUCAA